GGCUGUCGGAGCAGCUGGCCCACACGCCCACCUCAUUCCGGAGGGAUCCCGAGGAUCCGUCGGCCGUGGCCCUCAAGGAGCCCUGGCAGGAGAAAGUCAGGAGAAUCCGGGAAGCCUCUCCCUACGGCCACCUCCCCUCCUGGCGCCUCCUCUCCGUCAUCGUCAAAUGCGGCGACGACCUCCGGCAGGAGCUGCUGGCGUUCCAGGUGCUCAAACAGCUCCAGUCCAUCUGGGAGCAGGAGCGGGUUCCCCUGUGGAUCAAGCCCUACCAGAUCCUGGUGAUCUCUGCGG